CUGGCUCAGACGAACGCUGGCGGCAUGGAUUAGGCAUGCAAGUCGAACGAAGUAGCAAUACUUAGUGGCGCAAGGGUGAGGAACGCGUGAGUGACCUACCCGCAAGUUUGGAACAGCUCCUGGAAACGGGAAUUAAUACCGGAUGUGAUCAAGUGGACUGCAUGGUUUAUUGAUUAAAGCAGUAAUGCGCUUGCGGAUGGGCUCGCGUCCCAUUAGCUAGUUGGUGAGGUAACGGCCCACCAAGGCCAUGAUGGGUAGCUGGUCUGAGAGGACGACCAGCCACACUGGGACUGAGAACUGCCCAGACUCCUACGGGAGGCUGCAGUCGAGAAUUUUGGGCAAUGGACGAAAGUCUUGACCCAGCAAUGCCGCGUGCGGGAUGAAGGUCUUCGGAUUGUAAACCGCUGUUUGGAGGGACGAAAAUUGACGGUACUUCCAGAGAAAGCCACGGCUAACUACGUGCCAGCCGCUGC
rnacentral:rRNA from 1 species